CCGCACGCGCGCUACACUGAAGGGAUAAGCGUGUUUUUCCUGCUCCGAAAGGAGUGGGUAAUCCNUGAAACCCCUUCGUGAUUGGGAUCGGGGCUUGAAAUUAUUCUCCGUGAACGAGGAAUUCCCAGUAAGCGCGAGUCAUAAGCUCGCGUUGAUUACGUC
rnacentral:rRNA from 1 species